rnacentral:rRNA from 1 species
AUUGCCUUAGUAACGGCGAGUGAAGCGGCAAUAGCUCAAAUUUGAAAUCUGGCUCUUUUAGAGUCCGAGUUGUAAUUUGUAGAGGGUGCUUUGGUGUUGAAGGCGGUCCAAGUUCCUUGGAACAGGACGUCACAGAGGGUGAGAAUCCCGUACGUGGUCGCCAAUCUUCACCAUGUAAAGCCCCUUCGACGAGUCGAGUUGUUUGGGAAUGCAGCUCUAAAUGGGAGGUAAAUUUCUUCUAAAGCUAAAUACUGGCCAGAGACCGAUAGCGCACAAGUAGAGUGAUCGAAAGAUGAAAAGCACUUUGGAAAGAGAGUCAAAAAGCACGUGAAAUUGUUGAAAGGGAAGCGCUUGCAGCCAGACUUGCCUGUAGUUGCUCACCUGUGUUUUUACGCGGGGUACUCUUCUAUAGGCAGGCCAGCAUCAGUUUGGGCGGCUGGAUAAAGAUCUCUGGAACGUUCCUUCCUUCGGGUUGGCCUUAUAUGGGAGAUGUCAUGCAGCCAGCUUGAACUGAGGUCCGCGCAUUCGCUAGGAUGCUGGCGUAAUGGCUGUAAGCGGCCCGUCUUGAAACACGGACCAAGGAGUCUAACAUCUAUGCGAGUGUUUGGGUGUCAAGCCCGGACGCGUAAUGAAAGUGAACGGAGGUGGGAACCUUGUAAAGAGGUGCACCAUCGACCGAUCCUGAUGUCUUCGGAUGGAUUUGAGUAAGAGCAUAGCUGUUGGGACCCGAAAGAUGGUGAACUAUGCUUGAAUAGGGUGAAGCCAGAGGAAACUCUGGUGGAAGCUCGCAGCGGUUCUGACGUGCAAAUCGAUCGUCAAAUUUGGGCAUAGGGGCGAAAGA